UACGUAGGGUGCAAGCGUUGUCCGGAAUUAUUGGGCGUAAAGAGCUCGUAGGCGGUUUGUCGCGUCUGCUGUGAAAACUCGGGGCUUAACCCCGGGCCUGCAGUGGGUACGGGCAGACUAGAGUGCGGUAGGGGAGACUGGAAUUCCUGGUGUAGCGGUGAAAUGCGCAGAUAUCAGGAGGAACACCGGUGACGAAGGCGGGUCUCUGGACAGUGACUGACGCUGAGACGCGAAAGCGUGGGGAGCAAACAGG
rnacentral:rRNA from 1 species